UACCAUGGAUCCUUUGAUGGUUAUAAUGAAAAAGAAACCUACUCUGACAGUCCGUCAUCCUCUCCUGAAACCAUUGUCAAAAGCAAAAAGAGGCGGAAAAAUAAAUCUCCAGUUGAGGAUGCUCUGAAAAUAAUCAAGAAAGAGUCCCAACAUAACCUGGAACUACCUAAAAAACUUUUUUACAAGCACAAUAAUAGUGAUAAUCCUUUUCCUAAAAAACGAGGUCCACGUCCAAAGGUGCUCACAAAGGAGGAAAAGAAGAAGAAACGAGUGGAUGCAAAUGAUCGAGAGAGACAAAGAAUGAAUCAGUUGAAUACUGCAUUUAACAAUUUAAGGGACGUUCUACCUCGACAUGGGAAUGACAGAGAGCUCUCAAAGUUUGAAACCAUUCAAAUUGCUAAAAAUUAUAUUCAAACCCUUCACCAGCUUGUAACUUGAAGGUGAUGACGACAAGACUUGGAUCUUAAACUAUGUAUAUAUGGUGUACCGUGGUAAGACACCAUUUCUACUCCUCUAGUCAUUGUAAUCUUUUAAGUGGACAUGUAGUCUGUUGUACGUACGUUUCUGUGAUGAAUUUAAUUAACUUUGAUAAUCAUAUACUUGUGAAUAAUUGUGUAACAAUGGUUUAAAAAAUAAAAUACAUAUCAGUC
rnacentral:lncRNA from 1 species